rnacentral:lncRNA from 1 species
AAGUUCGUUCUUUAUUUCUUUUGUCUAUGCCAACUCCAAUCGGCAAAAACGUAAAAAUCUUUGGGAUUUCAUAAGGUCUUCGAUUCCGUCAGGUCAUAUUCCAUAGAUUGCUCUUGGUGACUUCAACGCAAUCCUUUAUCCUUCUAAAAAUUUUGGUGGUCUUACUAAUAGAAGGAGAUGUCCCUAGUUCGGAGAAUUUGUGGAGAAAGCCAAGCUGCAUGAUUUGGGUUUUAUAGGGCCUCCUUUUACUUGGAAUCGGGGUGCACUUUUUGAAAUGUUAGAUCGUGCGUUGGGUAAUAAAGCAUGAAUUCGUAAUUUCCCUAAUAGUUUGGUUACUCACUUACCUAAUAUCAAGUCUGACCCCCGUCCUCUUCUUUUGAAUCAAAAUCCGAAGGUUAUUUUACCCAGAGGGAGACCCUUUCGAUUCUUGGAAGGUUGGACUGAACAUCUUGAUUUUGAUGAUUUUAUGAAUGACAAUUGGGUUGUCGCUAGAUACAUGGCUGAUUUCUUAUCCAAGCUUACUCUUAAUUUAAAAGAGUGUAAUAAACAGGUCUACGGGCAUAUCACUACCAAAAAGAGACACAUUGUUCUUAAAAUUGCUAAUGUUUAGAGAAUGAUGGAUCUCUCUGGUUCGAAUUGGUUAACUCAGGUGGAUUUGAAUCUUAGACAGGAGCUUGAAUGUUUUACACCAUGAAGAACUCCUUUGGAAGCAAAAAGAGAGAUGUGAUUGGCUGCAUUUGGGUGAUCGUAACACAAAGUUCUUCCAUUCUUGAACUUUGCAAAGAAGGAAAAGCAACCGCAUAACUUUUAUUCAGAAUGACGACGGGGAUUGAAUCUUUGACCUAGAGGCUUUGAGGCUGAGGCGAAUACUUUUUUCCAAAAGCUCUAUGGGGAAUGUCUUGGUGAUAUUGGUGUUUUUCCUCCUAGUAAGUUUCCUCAGCUAAAGCGUGGUGAUAUUAAUUUUUUAAGGAAGUCGAUCACUAAUGAUGAAAUUAAGUUAAUUUUUUAAGGAAGUCGAUCACUAAUGAUGAAAUUAAGGAUGCCCUUUUUUAUAUGGCUCCUCCAAAAGCUUCGAAAAGUAACGGGUUUCAUGCCCACUUUUUUCAGAAUCAGUAGAGUAAAAUUGGGCGGCAGUUUGUGAUUGGGUCAAAAAGGUGUUUAAUGGAGGUUUUAUUGAGGCUGAAUAACACCCUGAUUGUUCUAAUUCCUAAUGUGGCGAAUCUAGAAGGCUUUGGACAGUUUUGUCGAAUAAGCAAGCAUGUCUUCCCAAAAAUUAUUGCGCAGGAACAUGUUGGCUUUAUUGCAGACAGGAAUAUAACCGAUAACAUUAUCAUCGCUCAAGUGGUAAUUCAUUCCAUGAGACGUCAGAAAAAAAAGGAAAUGGAUGACGAUUAAAAUUGAUCUGGAGAAAGCCU